UACGGGGGGGGCAAGCGUUGUUCGGAAUUACUGGGCGUAAAGGGCUCGUAGGCGGCCAACUAAGUCAUACGUGAAAUCCCUCGGCUUAACCGGGGAACUGCGUCUGAUACUGGAUGGCUUGAGAUUGGGAGAGGGAUGCGGAAUUCCAGGUGUAGCGGUGAAAUGCGUAGAUAUCUGGAGGAACACCGGUGGCGAAGGCGGCAUCCUGGAUCAACACUGACGCUGAGGAGCGAAAGCCAGGGGAGCAAACGGG
rnacentral:rRNA from 1 species